GGAAGCCUGACGCAGCGACGCCGCGUGGGGGAUGACGGCCUUCGGGUUGUAAACCUCUUUCGACUUCGAGGAAGCCUUUCGGGGUGACGGUAGGGGUGGAAGAAGCACCGGCCAACUACGUGCCAGCAGCCGCGGUAACACGUAGGGUGCGAGCGUUGUCCGGAAUUAUUGGGCGUAAAGAGCUCGUAGGCGGUGUGUCGCGUCGGCCGUGAAAACCUGUGGCUUAACUAUGGGCUUGCGGUCGAUACGGGCAUCACUUGAGUUCGGCAGGGGAGACUGGAAUUCCUGGUGUAGCGGUGAAAUGCGCAGAUAUCAGGAGGAACACCGGUGGCGAAGGCGGGUCUCUGGGCCGAUACUGACGCUGAGGAGCGAAAGCGUGGGGAGCGAACAGGAUUAGAUACCCUGGUAGUCCACGCCGUAAACGUUGGGCGCUAGGUGUGGGGGCCAUUCCACGGUCUCUGUGCCGUAGCUAACGCAUUAAGCGCCCCGCCUGGGGAGUACGGCCGCAAGGCUAAAACUCAAAGGAAUUGACG
rnacentral:rRNA from 1 species